UGAGGAAUAGGCCCAAUCUCAUCGACACGUCCGCUGGUGUUUUACAAGAUAAGCGGACUAGGUCUCAUCCGCUUCAAGUUGAAAUUUAGAACCCUAGUUAUCGAACAAAGCGCAAAGGAACGUCCGUUUUCGAUACCGUUCAUCAUGGAUAUGCAAAGUGAUUUCGACCGACUCCUCUUUUUCGAGCACGCUCGCAAGACUGCCGAAACUACAUAUGCUACAGAUCCUCUUGAUGCCGAGAAUUUGACAAGAUGGGCAGGUGCAUUACUGGAAUUAUCACAAUUCCAGUCGGUCAGCGAAUCAAAGAAAAUGAUAUCUGAUGCUAUCUCAAAGUUAGAAGAGGCUUUGGAGGUUAAUCCACAGAAGCAUGACGCCAUUUGGUGUUUGGGGAAUGCAUAUACAUCCCAUGGCUUUCUAAAUCCCGACGAAGAUGAAGCAAAGAUUUUUUUUGACAAAGCAGCCCAGUGCUUCCAGCAGGCUGUUGAUGCGGAUCCAGAAAACGAGCUUUAUCAGAAAUCAUUUGAAGUUUCUUCUAAGACUUCAGAGUUGCAUGCCCAGAUUCACAAACAAGGUCCCCUUCAACAAGCUAUGGGACCAGGACCAUCUACAACAACAUCAAGUACAAAGUGCAUACCGAGUGCACUACACAAUUCCAUCUAUGGCCUACAAAAUUAAAAACUUUAUGCACCCAAGGAUGUUAAUUUAAUGGUCAAUGAAGUGGGUUGAGAACCAUGAGGUCUCGGGGACAAACGCUAGAUUGAAUUUCUUCACAUCUUUCCAACCUUGGUGGACAAGCAUUGAUGGAUAGAGUGACCCCUGUUGUUGAUGGGAGGUGACAUGUAUCCCAUGGGAUUAGUCAGUGGCCUGCAACCUGGCAAGGACACCACUUUUUUUUUAAAAAAAAUUAAAUACGUUGUGUGGAAAUUGCCUUCAACAUAGUUUGGUGGGUGCGAAGAAGAAGAAGAGCAGUGAUCUGAAGUAUGACGUUUUUGGAUGGGUAAUACUUGCUGUUGGACUUGUUGCAUGGAUUGGCUUUGCGAAAUCUAAUAUGCCGCCACCUGCACAUCC